rnacentral:tRNA from 1 species
GGGAAUGUGGCUUAGUGGUAGUGUGCUUGCCUUGCAUGCAUGAAGCCCUGGGUUCGAUUCCUCAGUACCA